rnacentral:rRNA from 1 species
UACAGGGGGUGCAAGCGUUGUCCGGAAUGAUUGGGCGUAAGGCAUCUGUAGGUGGUUUCUAAAGUCAACUGUUAAAUCCCAGAGCUCAACUUUGGACAAGCAGUUGAGUACUUAGGGACUUGAGUAUGGUAGGGGUAGAGGGAAUUCCUAGUGGAGCGGUGAAAUGCACAGAGAUUAGGAAGAACACCAGUGGCGAAAGCGCUCUACUGGGCCAUGACUGACACUGAGAGAUGAAAGUUAGGGGAGCGAAAAGG